rnacentral:rRNA from 1 species
UGAGGAAUAUUGGUCAAUGGUCGCAAGACUGAACCAGCCAUGCCGCGUGCAGGAUGACGGUCCUAUGGAUUGUAAACUGCUUUUGUACGGGAAGAAACACUCCUACGUGUAGGGGCUUGACGGUACCNUAAGAAUAAGCACCGGCUAACUACGUGCCAGCAGCCGCGGUAAUAAUCA